rnacentral:tRNA from 1 species
GGUUGUAUCUCAGUGGUAGCGCACUUGCCUAGCAUGCAUGAGGACCUGGGUUCAAACCUCAGCACCA